rnacentral:rRNA from 1 species
GACGGGGGGGGCAAGUGUUCUUCGGAAUGACUGGGCGUAAAGGGCACGUAGGCGGUGAAUCGGGCUGAAAGUGAAAGUCGCCAAAAACUGGCGGAAUGCUCUCGAAACCAAUUCACUUGAGUGAGACAGAGGAGAGUGGAAUUUCGUGUGUAGGGGUGAAAUCCCGAGAUCUACGAAGGAACGCCAAAAGCGAAGGCAGCUCUCUGGGUCCCUACCGACGCUGGGGUGCGAAAGCAUGGGGAGCGAAUGGG